UUUGUCUCAGUAGAAAAGAAAAAGCGAUGUUCGAGAAAUAGCAAAAGCGUGUUAAAAAAAAGAUUUGUUAUCUGAAAAAAAUUGCAGAUGGAAGAUCAACGUGAAGGUGAUCAAGCCAAACCACGGUAAAACGGGUAUAAAGAAGGAAAUAGUCAAAGUUGUUUCAAAAAUCGUAUGAAAAAAAAAUAAUGAAAAAAUAAGGACAAGAACAGCAAAGAGCAAGACCGACAACAAAGCGGGAAGACGAAAAAAAAAGGGAAAAGAAAUGACAAGAAAGACGUAAAUCCUGUAAAGAAUGCAAGCAAAAGAAGAAAAACAAAUGCGAAAUAGGAUGAUAUUUCAAAGACAAACACAAAAAAAAAAAGCAAAGAAUAGGGGAAUCGAAAAAGGAAAAUCGAUCUUUGUUAUCCUAUAAAAAGACCCAAAUUUCACUCGAUUUUCCUACGUUGUAGCAAGUUUAUGAUUAUUUUUCUAUAAUCUCUAUUUACCUUGUUGACUGUUUUUUUCAUCUUUUCUCUGUUUAUCACAAUAUCGAUCACUCCUACCUAUCUGCAUAUUUAUCGGCGUUUUGUUUACAAAAUGCCAUGUAACUGCCGAAACAAGUUUCUUUCGUCAUUGCUCAAUUGAAUUACGAGAGCAACGACGCGAAUGUGGAGAAAGAUUACAUAUUGCAACGCAUCACAAAAUCUUGAAACGAAAUUGAGCGUAGUAUCGAAAAGGACGAUUGCAAGGGAGUAACAGGAGGAAGACAAACAGUGAAACAAAGAAGAGGAAGAAAAGAGAAAUGAAAUAAAUAAUAAAGCCCUAAAA